rnacentral:misc_RNA from 1 species
GAUGAAGAACGCAGUGAAAUGCGAUAAGUAAUGUGAAUUGCAGAAUUCAGUGAAUCAUCGAAUCUUUGAACGCACAUUGCGCCCCCUGGUAUUCCGGGGGGCAUGCCUGUCCGAGCGUCAUUACAACCCUCAAGCUCAGCUUGGUGUUGGGCCCCGCCGCCCCGGCGGGCCCUAAAGUCAGUGGCGGUGCCGUCCGGCUCCGAGCGUAGUAAUUCUUCUCGCUCUGGAGGUCCGGUCGUGUGCUCGCCAGCAACCCCCAAUUUUUUUCAGGUUGACCUCGGAUCAGGUAGGGAUACCCGCUGAACUUAACCAUAUCAAUAAGCGGAGGA